GAAGACUUUUCAGAAUUCCUGUUGUUUUGCACUUGGGUAGAGGGGAAAAGUAUGUUUGCUAAUCCCUGCUUGCUGCUGGCUCAUGGUUCCUUUUUCAGAGUCCACCAAAGCUUCUGUGUAACUCCCACUGUACAGACAUUGAUGAACAUAUGCUACAGUGAGCACACAAAAGAAGUCAGGUAUGCCUUUUGUUAGCACAGAAGAACUUGAAGACAUCUUCAGUAACUCAUCAUGGGAAAGACUUCCAGAAGUACAGGGGCAACAAGGAAAGUCACAGCACUCUGUGAGUGGACAAACUCUUCCAGCAACAAGCAUUUAUCAGAAGUCAACAAGGAAAGAAGAAAACUGUACUGUAUGGCAAUGAAAAUUACUUCACCAUCCAAAUAUAGACAGAUUUUUGUUCCUGUCCUAUACAUCCAAAUGAACCAUUUCUCAUUUGUUAUUAUAGACAUGGCGAUGUCCUGAGCAGACUCAAGCUCUCAGCAGGGAUGGACUACUCCCAUCACCAAAGGAACAGAGCAUGGAAGGCAGUGAAUUGCUUAGA